rnacentral:rRNA from 1 species
UACGUAGGGUGCGAGCGUUGUCCGGAAUUAUUGGGCGUAAAGAGCUUGUAGGCGGUUUGUCGCGUCUGCUGUGAAAAUCCGAGGCUCAACCUCGGACUUGCAGUGGGUACGGGCAGACUAGAGUGUGGUAGGGGAGACUGGAAUUCCUGGUGUAGCGGUGGAAUGCGCAGAUAUCAGGAGGAACACCGAUGGCGAAGGCAGGUCUCUGGGCCACUACUGACGCUGAGAAGCGAAAGCAUGGGGAGCGAACGGG